rnacentral:pre_miRNA from 1 species
UUAACUUAAAUUUAUAUGCAGUUAGAACAGCGCCCCUAGCGACAAACUUAGGCAAAAGUUCCAACUCCAUACAUAUUUGAUUUA